UGACUUGAAGCCUGUCAAGUUGAGCAUUGAGGAGCAACCUUGGUGGCUGUGACACAUUAUGUUUCUUUUUAUUAGGAUCCACUACUGCAAAACUUGAGAAAUCUGCAGGGCAAGUUGAGAAGUCUUUAAAAAGGAGGAGGAAGAAUCAAUACAGGGGAAUCCGCUAAUGUCCAUAUGGUAAGCAUUAAAUAAAGUAACAAUUAAGAAAAGCUUCAUUGUCAAGAGAUGAUGCAUUUGCCUUUCUGGAAGGUGACAACUAUGAUGAUUUUAUGACAUUUUAUAGUUUCUCUAAUGCACUUCAUCAAGCGAAGUUGAUUGGUGUGUCUCGUGGAUUAUGCUUCCAAGGGUUAAAGGAUCUCUGGGCUGAAGCAAUGCU